GGCCCGUUGGUCAAGCGGUUAAGACACCGCCCUUUCACGGCGGUAUCACGGGUUCGAAUCCCGUACGGGUC
rnacentral:tRNA from 1 species